rnacentral:rRNA from 1 species
UACAGAGGUCUCAAGCGUUGUUCGGAUUCAUUGGGCGUAAAGGGUGCGUAGGUGGCGCCGUAAGUCGGGUGUGAAAUUUCGGAGCUUAACUCCGAAACUGCAUUCGAUACUGCGGUGCUUGAGGACUGGAGAGGAGACUGGAAUUCAUGGUGUAGCAGUGAAAUGCGUAGAGAUCAUGAGGAAGACCAGUGGCGAAGGCAGGUCUCUGGGCUGACACUGACGCUCAUGCACGAAAGCGUGGGGAGCAAACAGG